rnacentral:rRNA from 1 species
CUGGAACGCGCCCCGGCGCACCCAGAAACCCUUUGUGAACUUAUACCUUAUUGUUGCCUCGGGAAGGCCGGCCUCUCUUGUGAGGCCCCCCGGAGACGGGGAGCAGCCCGCCGGCGGCCAACCAAACUCUUGUUUCUUAGUGAAUCUCUGAGUAAAAAACAUAAAUGAAUCAAAACUUUCAACAUCGGAUCUCUUGGUUCUGGCAUCGAUGAAGAACGCAGCGAAAUGCGAUAAGUAAUGUGAAUUGCAGAAUUCAGUGAAUCAUCGAAUCUUUGAACGCACAUUGCGCCCUCUGGUAUUCCGGAGGGCAUGCCUGUUCGAGCGUCAUUUCAACCCUCAAGCCUGGCUUGGUGUUGGGGCACUGCCUUGGAGACAAGGCAGGCCCUGAAAUCUAGUGGCGAGCUCGCUAGGACCCCGAGCGUAGUAGUUAUAUCUCGUUCUGGAAGGCCCUGGCGGCGCCCUGCCGUUAAACCCCCAACUUCUGAAAUUUUGACCUCG